AGAGGGACAGCUGGGUCAAAUGGUGGUUCUGGUUCCAUUCCCAAUUUUCCAAGAAAUCUCCAUACUGCUUUCCAUAUUGGCUGCACCAAUUUGCAGUCCCACCAGCAGU
rnacentral:pre_miRNA from 1 species